rnacentral:rRNA from 1 species
CAGCAGCCGCGGUAAUACGGAGGGAGCUAGCGUUGUUCGGAAUUACUGGGCGUAAAGCGCACGUAGGCGGCUUUGUAAGUUAGAGGUGAAAGCCUGGAGCUCAACUCCAGAAUUGCCUUUAAGACUGCAUCGCUUGAAUCCGGGAGAGGUGAGUGGAAUUCCGAGUGUAGAGGUGAAAUUCGUAGAUAUUCGGAAGAACACCAGUGGCGAAGGCGGCUCACUGGACCGGCAUUGACGCUGAGGUGCGAAAGCGUGGGGAGCAAACAGGAUUAGAUACCCCCGUAGUCCCUGUCUCUUAUAC